GGUCUGAUCAUGGCCUUCGAUUGAACGCUGGCGGGAUGCUUUACACAUGCAAGUCGAACGGUAGCACGGACUUCGGUCUGGUGGCGAGUGGCGAACGGGUGAGUAAUGGACGGGAACGUGCUUCAGUAGCGGGGGAUAACUACGCGAAAGCGUAGCUAAUACCGCAUAUUGCCCUUCGGGGAAAGCUGGGGAUCUUCGGGCUCGCACUAUUAGAGCGGGCUGAUAUCGGAUUAGCUAGUUGGUGGGGUAACGGCUCACCAAGGCGACGAUCCGUAGCUGGUUUUGAGAGGACGACCAGCCACACUGGGACUGAGACACGGCCCAGACUCCUACGGGAGGCAGCAGUGGGGAAUUUUGGACAAUGGGGAAAACCUGAUCCAGCCAUCCCGCGUGUGCGAUGAAGGCCUUCGCUGUAAAGCACUUUUGGGCAGGAAAGAAACGGCACGGGAUAAUACCCCGUGCAACUGACGGUAAAUUCGCAGGAUCAAGCACCGGCUAACUACGUGCCAGCAGCCGCGGUAAUACGUAGGGUGCAAGCGUUAAUCGGAAAUUAUUGGCGUAAGCGUGCGCAGGCGGUUCGGAAAGAAAGAUGUGAAAUCCCAGAGCUUUCAACUUUGGAACUGCAUUUUAACUACCGAGCUAGAGUGUCAGGGAGGGAGUGUGGAAUUUCGCGUGUAGCAAGGAAAUGCGUAGAUAUGCGGAGAACACCGACGGCGAAGGCAGCUCUCCUGGGAUAACACUGACGCUCGGCGCACGAAAGCGUGGGAGCAAAAACAGGAUUAGAUAAUUCCCGGUAGUCCACGCCCUAAACGAUGUCAACUAGCUGUUGGGCUUUCGGGCCUUGGAAGCGCAGCUAACGGGCGGUGAAGUUGACCGCCUGGGGAGUACGGUCGCAAGAUUAAAACUCGCGCGAAUUGACGGGGACUCGUACAAGCGGUGGAUGAUGUGGAUUAAUUCGAUGCAACGCGAAAAACCUUACCUACCCUUGACAUGUCUGAAUCCCGAAGAGAUUUCCGGGGAGUGCUCGCAAGAGAACCGGAACACAGGUGCUGGGCAUGGCUGUCGUCAGCUCGUGUCGUGAGAUGCUGGGUUAAGUCCCGCAACGAGCGCAACCUUGUCAUUAGUUGCUACGAAAGGGCACUUUAAUGAGACUGUUGCGACAAACCGGAGGAAGGUGGGGAUGACGUCAAGUCCUCAUGGCCCUUAUAGGUAGGGCUUCACACGUCAUACAAUGGUCGGGACAGAGGGUCGCCAACUCAAGGAGGGGAGCCAAUCCCAGAAACCUCGAUCGUAGUCCGGAUCGCAGUCUGCAACUCGACUGCGCAGUUAAUCGCUAGUAAUCGCGGAUCAGCAUGUCGCGGAAUACGUUCCCGGGGUCUGUACACACCGCCCGUCACACUAUGGAGUGGGUUUUACCAGAAGUAGUUAGCUCUAACCUGGUAAGGAGGGCGAUUACCACGGUAGAUCUGAUGACUGGGGUGGUCGCAACAAGGGGUAG
rnacentral:rRNA from 1 species